AGGGAAUAUUGCAAAAUGGGCGAAAGCCCGAUGCAGCGACGCCGCGUGGGCGAUGAAGGCCUUCGGGUCGUAAAGCCCUUUUUGAGGGGAUGAGGAAGGACAGUACCCUCAGAAUAAGCCUCGGCUAACUACGUGCCAGCAGCCGCGGUAAAACGUAGGAGGCGAGCGUUAUCCGGAUUUACUGGGCGUAAAGCGCGUGCAGGCGGAUUGGAGAGUUGGAUGUGAAAGCUCCCGGCUUAACUGGGAGAGGUCGUUCAAUACUUCCAGUCUUGAGUGCAGUAGAGGGAAGUGGAAUGCCGGGUGUAGUGGUGAAAUGCGUAGAUAUCCGGAGGAACACCAGUGGCGAAAGCGGCUUCCUGGACUGUAACUGACGCUCAGACGCGAAAGCUAGGGUAGCAAACG
rnacentral:rRNA from 1 species